rnacentral:lncRNA from 1 species
GUGCUCAUAUUGAAUUAUUACAGUCUGCAUUUAAGUUGGGCGAAGAAUAGUAACAUACCAACCGCAACACAAAUUAGAGUUCAAAUCUCCGAAAUCCAUUCAACACAUGUUCCAGAUAUCGUAUUGAGAUUUUCUUCGGUGCUUCGUUAUUUCAUUCAGACCAGAUAUUUCAGAUAUUGAACUGUAAACACGAAACAUAAGAAUGGUAACAAACAAUACUCGUAAACCAGACAAUUAUACACACAACAAUAAUCAAAUAUCCUUGAAAGACGGGUGAAUGACGAACAGACCAACAAGCUGUUGGCCAACGGCGCACAUGGCACGACUGUUACUUCAUAUUACCAUAAAAACAAAGACUUACAUGGCAAUUACAACAUUAGAAACGGAAAAACUCACAAAAUCGACUUAAGACCACACGCUAAUGAAGGCUUGACACAUAUGACAGAAAGAAGAUAAUGAUAAUGACUUGAUGAAUAAAUUAAAAGGAUCACCAUAAACCUGAUAUGGGACACGACGUAAAACAAAACGGCAAACCGAUUUACCCUUAGUGCUACAUAACCUUCGAUGUCUAGCACAUUUCUCUUGCUUUUAACCAUUAACCACUAACCAAGUAAACGAACAGAACCUAAUGUAUGUUUGCAUUAAGAAACGUCGUUAUUUUGCUAUUACAUUUACUAUGAAAGACUCAUGUUCAACAAGACUAUUAGGUAAUCUUAACUGUACAACUAAUGUCUGUUUGGCGUAAAGAUUAAUAAUGACGAUACAGUGGGGUUAGUAUUCGCUAGAGUUAUCCCUAAUAUAGACAAGUCUUCCCGCCAAUGACCAUUUUCUUUCAAUACACGUUUCCACCCAUAACUAAAGUAUUUUUAAUCUUAUUGUCCCGAAGACGGUAAUUUUUUUGUUUCCCACAACCACCCAAGUUUUUUCUUUCUUUCUCCUUUGCACAUGUCGCAUGUUGUUAUUAACAACUUGCGAAUAUAAUACCAUAGAUGAAAAGUGUCUCAUUUUCGUUCGUUCUGUUCAUUGAAUGCAAAUGUUUCCUUGUAAGAAAUGGCUGUGGGAAAUUGAAACUAUUCCCACUGAAAGAUAACACGUGUAGAGACAGCGAUGUAUUUUAUGUCUUUAGUCAAUACCCAAGCGCUAGUAUAUUCAGUUAUCCUCUUUUAUAUUGAUUACAUUCUGCAAGGGGCUCGAUUUUUAAAGCUGAAUAUGACAAUAUCAUCAGUGAAUUACCUACUACAAAUUGAUAAAUAAUAAUUAUGUUAUGUCCAUGGAAACUGUAAUCGACAUAAUGUCAGAAAUGGCCUUCCAGCGGAAUAGGGAUAUAAAUAGUCUAGCAGAUAUCAGUGUCUGUAUUAUAUCUCACCAGAGUUUAUUGUACAGUUUUAUGUUACGCAUCUGAAAAUUAUUAACAAGGACUUCAAACAUCACACUCAAGAGAGAGAGAGAGAGAGAGAGAGAGAGAGAGAGAGAGAGAGAGAGAGAGAGAGAGAGAGAGAGAGAGAGAGAGAGAGAGAGAGAGAAUUAUCAAAGUGUUUUAGAGAAAAACGGCAAUCACCAGUAAAGAUCGAAUGAUGCAGUAGUACAGAUAGGGGCUUGACAGUACACUCGUAUAUGUAAUUAUUAAUUUAUUCAUAAAACAUGCCAUGGGAACGAGAUAUGCAACAAAGCAUAUUUUUUAAAAAACAUCUAUUCCAAAUAGAUACCAGAGAGCAGGCUGCACCCCUUUUUGGACGCCUUGCUAAGUAUGUUCCAGGUAUCACGGCGACACUGGCGGAGGGGCUCGGGACAGGUACGGAAGAUGGUUGCUGAGACGAACGGAAGGGCCAGACAGACGGUUGAUACCGAAAAUCUCGCUUACAGGAAAAAGCCCAAGUAUAUUCAGAAAAAAGGAACUAAAUGAUGCACCUGUCGUUGCAUAAAAGGAAUAGAACCCUUCCCAAGAUAAAGGUGGGCCUACAAUGUCCAUGUGCCUCGGUUUACGCAUGAGUUUCGUCGCAGUUCUCUUUGAUGAAGGGAGUAUAUAGAAGUAUACAGUAAAUAAGAAGUGUGUGUAUCUUGGCAGACACACGCAGACACACGGAAAAAUAGAUGUGUGAAUUUUCUGCAAACGGGAGAGUUUUCAUGAUUAUAAAAUUAUUAUACUAAAAUUAUUCGACGGACACUGAAAACCACUAUCGUUCUUGAAUCGCAUCAAUUAUGUUUACCCCAACUUAUAUCGCAAGAAAUUUUGUGACAUGUGUGAGCAAAGUUCAUGCAUCUUUCAUACAAAACGUGUGAUAUAACGAAGACUACGUCACAUGUGUAGAAAAAGUAUUACAGCCCUAGCUGCCGACUGUAUAGUCGGGCCGAAGGAAACAGAGUGCAAGAAGCAAGAAGAGAAAAAUGAUGCUGUUAGUGUUGUCUCAGAGCGUACAUUUUAUGGUUGAGUAAGACGAACAAGGUAUGAAAUAAGUGGAUUAUAAGCAUGUGAGGAAAGAUAUAGAUAGAAUAUGACUACCCUAUGAUGAUGUAUGAUGGUAUAAAAUUAUAAUUGUAAA